AUUGAACGCUGGCGGCAGGCUUAACACAUGCAAGUCGAACGAGUGGCGGACGGGUGAGUAAUGUCUGGGAAACUGCCUGAUGGAGGGGGAUAACUACUGGAAACGGUAGCUAAUACCGCAUACCCUCGGAUGUGCCCAGAUGGGAUUAGCUAGUAGGUGGGGUAUAGGAUCACCUAGGCGACGCUCCCUAGCUGGUCUGAGAGGAUGACCAGCCACACUGGACCUGCGACACGGUCCAAACUCCUACGGUAGGCAGCAGUGGAGAAUAUUGCACAAUGGGCGCAGGCCUGAUGCAGCCAUGCCGGGUGUAUGAAGAAGGCCGUCGGGUUGUAAAGUACUUUCAGCGGGGAGGCGUUACCCGCAGAAGAAGCACCGGCUAACUCCGUGCCAGCAGCCGCGGUAAUUC
rnacentral:rRNA from 1 species